rnacentral:rRNA from 1 species
UACGUAGGCAGCAAGCGUUGUUCGGAGUUACUGGGCGUAAAGGGUGUGUAGGCGGUUGUUUAAGUUUGGUGUGAAAUCUCCCGGCUCAACUGGGAGGGUGCGCCGAAUACUGAAUGACUUCGAGUGCGGGAGAGGAGAGUGGAAUUCCUGGUGUAGCGGUGAAAUGCGUAGAUAUCAGGAGGAACACCGAUGGCGAAGGCAGGUCUCUGGGCUGACACUGACGCUCAUGCACGAAAGCGUGGGGAGCAAACAGG